rnacentral:rRNA from 1 species
AGAGUUUGAUCAUGGCUCAGAUUGAACGCUGGCGGCAGGCCUAACACAUGCAAGUCGAGCGGAUGAAGGGAGCUUGCUCCUGGAUUCAGCGGCGGACGGGUGAGUAAUGCCUAGGAAUCUGCCUGGUAGUGGGGGAUAACGUCCGGAAACGGGCGCUAAUACCGCAUACGUCCUGAGGGAGAAAGUGGGGGAUCUUCGGACCUCACGCUAUCAGAUGAGCCUAGGUCGGAUUAGCUAGUUGGUGGGGUAAAGGCCUACCAAGGCGACGAUCCGUAACUGGUCUGAGAGGAUGAUCAGUCACACUGGAACUGAGACACGGUCCAGACUCCUACGGGAGGCAGCAGUGGGGAAUAUUGGACAAUGGGCGAAAGCCUGAUCCAGCCAUGCCGCGUGUGUGAAGAAGGUCUUCGGAUUGUAAAGCACUUUAAGUUGGGAGGAAGGGCAGUAAGUUAAUACCUUGCUGUUUUGACGUUACCAACAGAAUAAGCACCGGCUAACUUCGUGCCAGCAGCCGCGGUAAUACGAAGGGUGCAAGCGUUAAUCGGAAUUACUGGGCGUAAAGCGCGCGUAGGUGGUUCAGCAAGUUGGAUGUGAAAUCCCCGGGCUCAACCUGGGAACUGCAUCCAAAACUACUGAGCUAGAGCACGGUAGAGGGUGGUGGAAUUUCCUGUGUAGCGGUGAAAUGCGUAGAUAUAGGAAGGAACACAGUGGCGAAGGCGACCACCUGGACUGAUACUGACACUGAGGUGCGAAAGCGUGGGGAGCAAACAGGAUUAGAUACCCUGGUAGUCCACGCCGUAACCGAUGUCGACUAGCCGUUGGGAUCCUUGAGAUCUUAGUGGCGCAGCUAACGCGAUAAGUCGACCGCCUGGGGAGUACGGCCGCAAGGUUAAAACUCAAAUGAAUUGACGGGGGCCCGCACAAGCGGUGGAGCAUGUGGUUUAAUUUGAAGCAACGCGAAGAACCUUACCUGGCCUUGACAUGCUGAGAACUUUCCAGAGAUGGAUUGGUGCCUUCGGGAACUCAGACACAGGUGCUGCACGGCUGUCGUCAGCUCGUGUCGUGAGAUGUUGGGUUAAGUCCCGUAACGAGCGCAACCCUUGUCCUUAGUUACCAGCACCUCGGGUGGGCACUCUAAGGAGACUGCCGGUGACAAACCGGAGGAAGGUGGGGAUGACGUCAAGUCAUCAUGGCCCUUACGGCCAGGGCUACACACGUGCUACAAUGGUCGGUACAAAGGGUUGCCAAGCCGCGAGGUGGAGCUAAUCCCAUAAAACCGAUCGUAGUCCGGAUCGCAGUCUGCAACUCGACUGCGUGAAGUCGGAAUCGCUAGUAAUCGUGAAUCAGAAUGUCACGGUGAAUACGUUCCCGGGCCUUGUACACACCGCCCGUCACACCAUGGGAGUGGGUUGCUCCAGAAGUAGCUGGUCUAACCGCAAGGGGGACGGUUACCACGGAGUGAUUCAUGACUGGGGUGAAGUCGUAACAAGGUAGCCGUAGGGGAACCUGCGGCUG